rnacentral:rRNA from 1 species
ACGCUCGACACCUACGGGGGGCAGCAGUGGGGAAUAUUGGGCAAUGGGCGCAAGCCUGACCCAGCAACGCCGCGUGAAGGAAGAAGGCUUUCGGGUUGUAAACUUCUUUUAUUAAGGACGAAGCAAUGACGGUACUUAAUGAAUAAGCUCCGGCUAACUACGUGCCGGCAGCCGCGGUAAUCUGAGCGGGCUGGCAAGGC